AGAGCAACAAGUUACAAAAGAAAGGGCACACAAUCUUAGCAACAGAUGCAGAGAACAUUUGGCAAAAUGCAACACACAUUCAUGACUUUUAAAAAAGCCAACAACAGGCAGAAACAAGGCACCUCAUCUGCCUGGCCUCACUGGCAGCACAUGAUCCCAAGAUGGCAGAAACAGGAUGGCAGUGGCAAGGCCUGGUCUGCCGAGCUGCUCCUGAAGGCACUGGCUCUGAGGCCAGCAGAGGCAGUAUCUGAGCCCACAGCAGUGACAUUUGACAUGCAGUGGUGCAUUCCUUCUCCUAGAACGUAGGACCUGGGGACAAAUUUACCUGUAUGCUCACUUGCACAUCUCAAGGAAGGACCAAUAAGCAAUGCCAGAUGAGUCUGGGCAAAGACCAGCAAAGAGCACUAGCACUUCACCUGUAUCAUCUGGAGGCCCCUUGUGAAGUUCUACCUCUACUUCACCCAGUUCAAGGCCAAGGUGCGAGGCACUGAGAUUGAGUAGUCAUGGCCUACUCAAAAGCUGCAUUUAAAAGAGAAAGCGAUGUUUUCCUGAAAAAAUGAGGAAUUUGAAAUGAGCAAAACAACAGUGGCCCACAGGCCCAGUGCCUUCAAGGUCGAGCUGUCCAAGCUGGUGAUUGUGGCCAAGACAGCCUGCAACAAACUAUUCUGGAGUGCUGGCCAGUGACCAGUCUCUUGGGGACUCUUGGUGUCUUCCUAUACCAGUGGCCCUGCUCAGCGGGCAAGUAUGUGCAGAGAAGCCACUGCCCACCUCCCAUCACAGCCCUGCUUCUCACCUUAACACGAGGUGGACCAAGGACAACCUGCCCUUCUGAAGCCAGCCUGGGUCUUUGAGGGACUGGCCAGGUGCUGGGAGCCCCCAGGACUCAUCCCCACCGUCACUAACAGGCCCUCCUUUGAGUGGAACUGGGAAGACACCAAAUGUUCUUUCAUAUUUAAAUAAAUAACUGAGAAAAGAAAAUAGCCACCCAUCCAGGCCUUCCUGGGGUCUCUGUGAGGCUCCUGAUGGGACCCUGCAUACUGGGCAGCUGUCUGGGACUUGCUCCUGCAGAUGGGGCAGCUCCCCUCCUCAGUUCCAAAUGGCAAGAAGUCACCCACAAGUCAACACCCAACAGUCAGCAUCUAUGGCAAGUGCCUGAGGGUAGAUGUGCUGUCCCUACUUGGUGCUUGUUUUUUUUUUUCUUCAGUACUGGGGAUAGAACUCAGGACCUUGUGCUUGCCAGGCAGGUAUAGUGCCACUGAGCUACACACCUGGCGGUUUUGUUUUUUGAAGUUGGAUUGUGGCAGAACAGCUUUAAAAACCAAACCACAGCCAGGCUCAGUGGUACAUGCCUGUCAUCCCUGCUACUCAAGAGGCUGAGGCAAGCCUGGCAAUUUAGUGAGACCGUAUGUCAAAAUAAACAAAAAGGGCCAGUGAUGUAGCUCAGUAUGAAGGGUCUGGGUUCCAUCCCCAAUAGUACUGGAAAAACAAGCCCCACUCUGAGAAGGCAAGAAGUGGAGAAGGUGGCAGCCAGCACAUCCUCCCAGUUCCACGUCAUGAUAAAGAGGGGCAUCACUUUUAUUUAAAUAAUUCUCGUGCUCUUUGUUUUGUUUUUAUUUUUAAAUUGAAUCUCAGAUUUACAAAAGAGUCUGAGCAGACUGGAUGGCCCACCAGGGGAUAAGGAAAAUUACAUACAUUGGUGAUCCAGCCAGCACAGUUGAAGGUGCAAAGGUUCACCUGGGGCCAGGGCUUCUGGGACAUCAGAAUGUCAGUUGGUUCUUCAUAUCCUUUAGACAUCUCAUGUAGAUUUCUUGCUAGGAAGACAUUCACACUUCUGGCCCUUUCUUUUCCACAGAACUGCAUAACACAUUAUACCCCAAGUUACUCUUCACUCUAAAUGGCAUGAUAUAUGUGUACUGUGAAAAUUUCCAUUGAAGAUAGGCAAGCAUUCCAGUGACUCCAGACUCCAUUCUUCAUAUCUGUUUGAUAUCCAAAGAAUGAAAGACCUAGCUGCUUGCAGUUAGAAACAGCACUUUAUUUAGGGCAUAACUUUGGGUUACAACAACCCAUCCCAUAUUUUUCUACUGUAUUUUUGUACUUUAGCAUACUAGUAAAGGCUGUGCAUCUCUGUACUUGCAGCAGGGUAUACAGGAAGCAAUUUUGACAUUUACCCACUUGGUAUGAGGAACAGCAAGGUGUGUGCACGUGUGAAGAAGUGUGAAACCAGGGGCCAGGGAUUUAGCUCAGUGGUUUCACCACCUGCUGCAUAAGCACAAGGACCUGAGUUCGAUCCCCAGUACAAAAAAAAAAAAUGUGAAACCAGGAUUUUUACCCACUUAAUGCUUUAUCCGGUUUUGCAUACCUGAGCAUCACAGGGGGUAAAAUAUACCCACACCACUCUACUGUUGUGUAAACAUGUAUCUUACCAUAAUAGAAUGUGGGUGUGACUCUUAGUAGCUGUGCCUGGGGAAAGCAAAAACCCAUUUGUGCAUUCACCCACUUGGCAGACAAAUGGCAAGGUAUGUACAGGGACUCCAAAGCAGCAACAGAGAUAGGCCAAUUCAGUACAAUGGCACAGGAAAAACCAGAUUUGCAAGUUUUACAAGAGGUCAAAAGCAAAUCAUCAGAUUAUUCAUGCAUGGAUGAUGAAGAUGGUAGUGAUACAGGAAAUAAUAUUGGAAAUGAAAUAUAAAAUAUUAUAUCUCCCAACCUGUUAGCUGUAUGAUAUGCUGAGCACUUGCUCUCUAAAAAUCAAAGAAUGAAUUCUAGGAACAAUGGAGGUUAAGAGUAUGAACAUAUUGAUAGGAAGGCUCUGAGGGGCAGGAGGGGGACCCGAGUGGGUAUCCUGGGGACCCCACUUUACAGAGGAGUUUUAUAGAGUGAUGCUCAUGUGGGUACAGUGGGGCCAUAUCCAUGAUCAUCCAAUAAGGUUACAAGUAUAGUCACUUAAAUAAUAUUGCUCCAAUUGGGAAACAAGUCACGUAACAAAACGGAUGGAGAGAACAGGAUUUUCUUAGGAAAUGGUGGAUCCAGAGGUUUUUGGUCACCCACUGGGGUGGCUGAUGUCUAUCUAGACUUCAUUAGGCCCAGUGUUUGUUCUUUGAGGAAGUAGGCAGGUCUGGUCAUCUUGUCUUUAUCUUGAAGCCAGGUUUCCAG
ensembl:lncRNA